CCGAUUUUGCCCGGCGAUGGUUCCCGCCCCGGCAAACGCUGUGGGGCGGGUGAAAAGGGAACACGGUGCGGCGUACCCAUCAGGGACCAAGACCGUGGCUGCCCCCGCAACUGUGAGCGGUGAGCGAGAUCCCCGAAUGCCACUGGCCCCGGUUCAUCCCGGCCGGCCGGGAAGGCGGGAUCGAGCGGCGACCCGCAAGCCAGGAGACCUGCCAUCGACGCCGCGGGGUU
rnacentral:ncRNA from 2 species